CGUGGGAACCUGCCCUUAGGUUCGGAAUAACUCAGAGAAAUUUGAGCUAAUACCGGAUAAUGUCUUCGGACCAAAGAUUUAUCGCCUUUGGAUGGGCCCGCGUAGGAUUAGAUAGUUGGUGGGGUAAUGGCCUACCAAGUCGACGAUCCUUAGCUGGUCUGAGAGGAUGAUCAGCCACACUGGGACUGAGACACGGCCCAGACUCCUACGGGAGGCAGCAGUGGGGAAUAUUGGACAAUGGGCGAAAGCCUGAUCCAGCAAUGCCGCGUGAGUGAUGAAGGCCUUAGGGUUGUAAAGCUCUUUUACCAGGGAUGAUAAUGACAGUACCUGGAGAAUAAGCUCCGGCUAACUCCGUGCCAGCAGCCGCGGUAAUACGGAGGGAGCUAGCGUUGUUCGGAAUUACUGGGCGUAAAGCGCACGUAGGCGGCUUUUCAAGUCAGGGGUGAAAUCCCGGGGCUCAACCCCGGAACUGCCCUUGAAACUGGAUGGCUAGAAUACUGG
rnacentral:rRNA from 1 species